GACGUGGUGGUCGAUUGGUUAACGUGUUGGACUCCAGAUCGAGCGAUCCAGGUUCGAGUGCUGGCUGGGGUCA